GAUGAUUUCCUGCAGCCUAGCACCUGGUAUACCUCUCAGUCUCACAUGUCUUCACUCUUUCUAGCGUUAGCGCAAGCAUAACUGCAUUGUCUGUUGAGGUCCCAUCAAAUGCACUUGCUGAAAUAUCUGGCAAAUAUUGUGGGAACAGAAACACAUGCUAACAAACGUUGUGGUAAGACACAAUGCACACUAUAGUACAUUACAUAUAUAUACACACAUGUACAUGUAAAGAGAGUAGGAUAUGUCUUUUGGUCAGUAAUUUAUUGUGUCAUUUAUUGUACAGGAGAAUGGAAAGAUAAAUACUUACAAAUUAAUGAUAAAAGAAAUGCCUAAUUUGAAGAAUGAAUUACACUUAUUUUCAUAAUCAAGAAGCAGUGAGACCUUGUUUUAUGUACAUUCAAUUAUUCUAUUUUGUAUUUAUUAGGAUGUGUCAAGAUGAACUCAAACAAUGGAA